UACGGGAGGCAGCGGUGGGGAAUAUUGCACAAUGGGCGCAAGCCUGAUGCAGCCAUGCCGCGUGUAUGAAGAAGGCCUUCGGGUUGUAAAGUACUUUCAGUCGUGAGGAAGGUGUUAAGGUUAAUAACCUUAGCAAUUGACGUUAGCGACAGAAGAAGCACCGGCUAACUCCGUGCCAGCAGCCGCGGUAAUACGGAGGGUGCGAGCGUUAAUCGGAAUUACUGGGCGUAAAGGGCACGCAGGCGGUUAAUUAAGUUGGAUGUGAAAUCCCCGGGCUUAACCUGGGAAUGGCAUUCAAGACUGGUUAGCUAGAGUCUUGUAGAGGGGGUAGAAUUCCAUGUGUAGCGGUGAAUGCGUAGAGAUGUGGAGGAAUACCGGUGGCGAAGGCGGCCCCUGGACAAAGACUGACGCUCAUGUGCGAAAGCGUGGGGAGCGAAACAGGGAUUAGAUACC
rnacentral:rRNA from 1 species